UGGGAUGUAGCCAAGUGGUAAGGCAGCGGUUUUUGAUACCGUCAUUUCGGAGGUUCGAACCCUUCCAUCCCAGCC
rnacentral:tRNA from 1 species